rnacentral:rRNA from 1 species
GAGCGGCAGCACGGGUACUUGUACCUGGUGGCGAGCGGCGGACGGGUGAGUAAUGCCUAGGAAUCUGCCUAGUAGUGGGGGAUAACGUCCGGAAACGGGCGCUAAUACCGCAUACGUCCUACGGGAGAAAGUGGGGGAUCUUCGGACCUCACGCUAUUAGAUGAGCCUAGGUCGGAUUAGCUAGUUGGUGAGGUAAUGGCUCACCAAGGCGACGAUCCGUAACUGGUCCGAGAGGAUGAUCAGUCACACUGGAACUGAGGCACGGUCCAGACUCCUACGGGAGGCAGCAGUGGGGAAUAUUGGACAAUGGGCGAAAGCCUGAUCCAGCCAUGCCGCGUGUGUGAAGAAGGUCUUCGGAUUGUAAAGCACUUUAAGUUGGGAGGAAGGGCAGUUACCUAAUACGUGAUUGUUUUGACGUUACCGACAGAAUAAGCACCGGCUAACUCUGUG